GCGGCGUGCUAAUACAUGCAAGUCGAACGCUUUGUGGUUCAACUGAUUUGAAGAGCUUGCUCAGAUAUGACGAUGGACAUUGCAAAGAGUGGCGAACGGGUGAGUAACACGUGGGAAACCUACCUCUUAGCAGGGGAUAACAUUUGGAAACAGAUGCUAAUACCGUAUAACAAUGACAACCGCAUGGUUGUUAUUUAAAAGAUGGUUCUGCUAUCACUAAGAGAUGGUCCCGCGGUGCAUUAGCUAGUUGGUAAGGUAAUGGCUUACCAAGGCGAUGAUGCAUAGCCGAGUUGAGAGACUGAUCGGCCACAAUGGGACUGAGACACGGCCCAUACUCCUACGGGAGGCAGCAGUAGGGAAUCUUCCACAAUGGGCGAAAGCCUGAUGGAGCAACGCCGCGUGUGUGAUGAAGGGUUUCGGCUCGUAAAACACUGUUGUAAGAGAAGAAUGACAUUGAGAGUAACUGUUCAAUGUGUGACGGUAUCUUACCAGAAAGGAACGGCUAAAUACGUGCCAGCAGCCGCGGUAAUACGUAUGUUCCAAGCGUUAUCCGGAUUUAUUGGGCGUAAAGCGAGCGCAGACGGUUAUUUAAGUCUGAAGUGAAAGCCCUCAGCUCAACUGAGGAAUUGCUUUGGAAACUGGAUGACUUGAGUGCAGUAGAGGAAAGUGGAACUCCAUGUGUAGCGGUGAAAUGCGUAGAUAUAUGGAAGAACACCAGUGGCGAAGGCGGCUUUCUGGACUGUAACUGACGUUGAGGCUCGAAAGUGUGGGUAGCAAACAGGAUUAGAUACCCUGGUAGUCCACACCGUAAACGAUGAGUGCUAGGUGUUUGAGGGUUUCCGCCCUUAAGUGCCGCAGCUAACGCAUUAAGCACUCCGCCUGGGGAGUACGACCGCAAGGUUGAAACUCAAAGGAAUUGACGGGGACCCGCACAAGCGGUGGAGCAUGUGGUUUAAUUCGAAGCAACGCGAAGAACCUUACCAGGUCUUGACAUCCCUUGACAACUCCAGAGAUGGAGUGUUCCCUUCGGGGACAAGGUGACAGGUGGUGCAUGGUUGUCGUCAGCUCGUGUCGUGAGAUGUUGGGUUAAGUCCCGCAACGAGCGCAACCCUUAUUACUAGUUGCCAGCAUUCAGUUGGGCACUCUAGUGAGACUGCCGGUGACAAACCGGAGGAAGGUGGGGAUGACGUCAAAUCAUCAUGCCCCUUAUGACCUGGGCUACACACGUGCUACAAUGGCGUAUACAACGAGUUGCCAACCCGCGAGGGUGAGCUAAUCUCUUAAAGUACGUCUCAGUUCGGAUUGUAGGCUGCAACUCGCCUACAUGAAGUCGGAAUCGCUAGUAAUCGCGGAUCAGCACGCCGCGGUGAAUACGUUCCCGGGUCUUGUACACACCGCCCGUCACACCAUGAGAGUUUGUAACACCCAAAGCCGGUGGGGUAACCUUCGGGAGCCAGCCGUCUAAGUGGGACAGAUGAUUAGG
rnacentral:rRNA from 1 species